UUAAGCUACGAAGGGCGCACGGAGGAUGCCUUGGCGCCAGGUGCCGAUGAAGGACGGGGCUAACGCCGAUACGCCUCGGGGAGCCGUAAGCAGGCUUUGAUCCGGGGAUUUCCGAAUGGGGCAACCCACCCCGCGUAAUGGCGGGGUAUCCACUGCUGAAUCCAUAGGCAGUGAGAAGGUACACCAGGGGAACUGAAACAUCUUAGUACCCUGAGGAAAAGAAAACAACAGUGAUUCCCUCAGUAGUGGCGAGCGAACGGGGAAGAGCCUAAACCGCAUGUGCUUGCACAGGCGGGGUCGUGGGCGUCUCACGUGGAGUUACCAAUCCUUUUCGUAAGAGAACGGCUUGGAACGGCCGACCAGAGAGGGUGACAGUCCCGUAUCUGAAACGAAGAGGACUCGAGACGGACCCCGAGUACCGCGGGACACGAGGAAUCCCGUGGGAAUCCGGGAGGACCACCUCCUAAGGCUAAAUACAACCUGGCGACCGAUAGUGAACCAGUACCGUGAGGGAAAGGUGAAAAGCACCGCGGGAGCGGAGUGAAAGAGAACCUGAAACCGUGUGCCUACAAUCAGUCGGAGGGCGAUAUCCGCAAGGAUGUGCCUGACGGCGUGCCUUUUGUAGAAUGAACCGGCGAGUUACGAUUGCGUGCGAGGUUAAGGCGGGAAGCCGGAGCCGCAGCGAAAGCGAGUCUGAAGAGGGCUAGAGUACGCAGUCGUAGACCCGAAACCGUGUGAUCUAUCCCUGUGCAGGAUGAAGUGCGGGUAAAGCCGCAUGGAGGUCCGAACCCACGCAUGUUGAAAAAUGCGGGGAUGACGUGGGGAUAGCGGUGAAAUUCCAAUCGAACUCGGAGAUAGCUGGUUCUCCCCGAAAUAGCUUUAGGGCUAGCGUCGGAGCAGAGACAUGGAGGUAGAGCACUGAUUGGGCUAGGGGCCUUCGCGGGUUACCGAACUCAGUCAAACUCCGAAUGCCAUGAUCUCGAUCUCCGGCAGUCAGACUACGAGUGCUAAGAUCCGUGGUCAAAAGGGAAACAGCCCAGACCAUCAGCUAAGGUCCCCAAAUUCCGGUUAAGUGGGAAACGAUGUGGCGGUGCACAGACAACCAGGAUGUUGGCUUAGAAGCAGCCACCAUUUAAAGAGUGCGUAAUAGCUCACUGGUCGAGUGACGCUGCGCGGAAAAUGUAACGGGGCUCAAACCGGAUACCGAAGCUAUGGAUGAAUCGUUCGUCACCGUGGACGUCAUGGUGUAUAAGACAUUUUCUGCGAAUGCUUUCCGCAAGGAUCCUUCAAAAGCAUUCGCCAAAAUCGCCCGCUCAAACCGCGGGUGGCCAUGAGUCUAGGGUGAUGAACGAUCCGUGGUAGGGGAGCGUUCUCAUCGGGUUGAAGCUAGACCGUGAGGACUGGUGGACUGAUGAGAAGUGAGAAUGCCGGUAUAAGUAGCGAAAAGACAGGUGAGAAUCCUGUCCACCGAAAGCCUAAGGGUUCCUGGGGAAGGCUCGUCCGCCCAGGGUUAGUCGGGACCUAAGCCGAGGCCGAAAGGCGUAGGCGAUGGACAACAGGUGGAAAUUCCUGUACCACCUUGCAGCCGCUUGAGCGAUGGAGUGACGCAGAAGGAUAGGGUGAGCGGACGAUCGGAUGUCCGUGCAAGCAGUGAGGCUGAGAGGCAGGUAAAUCCGUCUCUCGGUAAGGCUGAGCUGUGACGCCGAGCGAAUUCAAGUAGCGAAGUCCCUGAUUUCACGCUGCCAAGAAAAGCUUCUAGCGAGGCUGCUGGUGCCCGUACCGCAAACCGACACAGGUAGGCGAGGAGAGAAUCCUAAGGUGCUCGGAAGAACUCUCGUUAAGGAACUCGGCAAAAUGGCCCCGUAACUUCGGGAGAAGGGGCGCUCCGGUAGGGUGAUGAGCCCGAGGGAGCCGCAGUGAAAAGGCCCAAGCGACUGUUUAGCAAAAACACAGGUCUCUGCUAAGCCGUAAGGCGACGUAUAGGGCUGACGCCUGCCCGGUGCUGGAAGGUUAAGGGAAGGGUUAGCGAAAGCGAAGCUCUGAACCGAAGCCCCAGUAAACGGCGGCCGUAACUAUAACGGUCCUAAGGUAGCGAAAUUCCUUGUCGGGUAAGUUCCGACCCGCACGAAUGGCGUAACGACUUGGGCGCUGUCUCGACGAGAGAUCCGGUGAAAUUGUAAUACCUGUGAAGAUGCAGGUUACCCGUGGCUAGACGGAAAGACCCCAUGGAGCUUGACUGUAGCUUGAUAUGGAAGAUGGGUAUCUCAUGUACAGGAUAGGUGGGAGGCUUGGAAAUCAGGGCGCCAGCCUUGGUGGAGCCGCCGUUGGGAUACCACCCUUGAGGUACUGAUCUUCUAACUUGUGCCCGUCAUCCGGGCAAGGGACAAUGUCAGGCGGGCAGUUUGACUGGGGCGGUCGCCUCCUAAAAGGUAACGGAGGCGCCCAAGGGUUCCCUCAGCGCGGUUGGAAAUCGCGCUUCGAGUGCAAAGGCAUAAGGGAGCUUGACUGCGAGACAUACAGGUCGAGCAGGGACGAAAGUCGGGCUUAGUGAUCCGGCGGUUCCAAGUGGAAGGGCCGUCGCUCAACGGAUAAAAGCUACCCUGGGGAUAACAGGCUUAUCUCCCCAAGAGUCCACAUCGACGGGGAGGUUUGGCACCUCGAUGUCGGCUCAUCGCAUCCUGGGGCUGUAGUUGGUCCCAAGGGUUGGGCUGUUCGCCCAUUAAAGCGGUACGCGAGCUGGGUUCAGAACGUCGUGAGACAGUUCGGUCCCUAUCUGCCACGGGCGCAGGAAGUUUGAGAGGAGUUGUCCUUAGUACGAGAGGACCGGGAUGAACCGACCGCUGGUGUCUCAGUUGUGGUGCCAACCGCAUCGCUGAGUAGCUAUGUCGGGCCGGGAUAAGCGCUGAAAGCAUCUAAGCGCGAAGCCCCCCUCAAGAUAAGACUUCCCACUCGGUCAACGAGGUAAGACCCCCUGAAGAUGACAGGGUGGAUAGGCGGGAGGUGUAAGCACCGCGAGGUGUUGAGCUGACCCGUACUAAUCGGUCGAGGGCUUAAUC
rnacentral:rRNA from 1 species